rnacentral:rRNA from 1 species
GAUGAACGCUGGCGGCGUGCCUAAUACAUGCAAGUCGAGCGAACGGACGAGAAGCUUGCUUUUCUGAUGUUAGCGGCGGACGGGUGAGUAACACGUGGAUAACCUACCUAUAAGACUGGGAUAACUUCGGGAAACCGGAGCUAAUAUCGGAUAAUAUUUUGAACCGCAUGGUUCAAAAGUGAAAGACGGUCUUGCUGUCACUUAUAGAUGGAUCCGCGCUGCAUUAGCUAGUUGGUAAGGUAACGGCUUACCAAGGCAACGAUGCAUAGCCGACCUGAGAGGGUGAUCGGCCACACUGGAACUGAGACACGGUCCAGACUCCUACGGGAGGCAGCAGUAGGGAAUCUUCCGCAAUGGGCGAAAGCCUGACGGAGCAACGCCGCGUGAGUGAUGAAGGUCUUCGGAUCGUAAAACUCUGUUAUUAGGGAAGAACAUAUGUGUAAGUAACUGUGCACAUCUUGACGGUACCUAAUCAGAAAGCCACGGCGAACUACGG